rnacentral:lncRNA from 1 species
AGGUUCCUUCUCCACACAUGAAACAUAUGCAUACGACUCAAUUUCCAAUUACUUUUUCAAUAAACCAUGAAUGACAAUGCCCCAAAUUAACUAGAUUGACCAAUUAAUUCUCAGAUUUCCCUAGAUUCAUUGAAUUGAAUGGGAUACGCAUUACAACCAAAUUAUUCUCAUCAAGGACCCUAACUAUGGAAUACGCAUGAUAGAGACACAUAUCAAAGAUCAUUAAGUUCAAUGGAAAUCAUAAGCAUUGACGAGGCAUUCAUAAUGGGAUACGCAUGUUACUCUUGCCUAGGGUUUACUUAACACAAUCGUGACUAGCGACUUUUACUACUUAUGAAUAUAAGUUAAUAACGAUUAGGUGAAAUUCCCUUCUCUAGCGUCAAAUUCAUGCAUGCGAACUAAGUAUGCAUCCUUAAUUAACACACAAGAACAAGUUAUCAAUCAAAUA